CACCUCUUGUACCGUUUAUUAGAAAUGCAACAUGACUGCAAGACUGCAACAUUAGAUACGUCUUGCACAAGGGAGCUGCGCAUAGAAGGGAAGCCUUUGUAAACAUUUAGAUUUCCUCAUGGAGGUUUUGUGUGUGUGUGUGUGUGUGUGUUUCUUUUUAACGUUACACGGCAUUAGCAGAGGAACACAGCUGGUUCACAAGAUCUCAAACGGAGGGUGGCUUCCCUAAAGAGUUUGCAAACCCGCAUGGCUGUCAUCCGAUUCACCUUCUUCCCUGCCCAGCUGUGCUGAGAGGGAGGUAAACAAACAAAAGAAUGAGUAAAUAAAAUGGGUUUGGGAUUCACUGCCCUUUGCUCUUCUGUCCCAUCUCAAUCCAAGCCCACGAAGGGAGGACGAGGGGGGACAAAAAUCAGGAUAAAGCAAAGACUGUAAAACCAUUCCUGAAACCCUUGAAAGCGGCUGCAGAUGGAAGGACCUAGUAGCUAAGCGAAUGCUCUGGGUAGGAGGGUGUGGGCAAGGGAAUAAAACUAGCUGAGAAGCGAGCAAAGCCUGCCUUCCCUAGGGUUCGCUCGGGCUCAGUGUGGGUCACCUCCUUGUCUGCAAGCUGCCUGUGUGCUCUGCCACAUGGCUUCCGGAGAGAGGCUUCCUGUAGAGGAAAAAACACUGAUUCUGCUCUCCUGUUUUCAGCUUUCGAGAGCCUGUCUUGGAGAAGACAAUAGACGCUGAAGCACCACGCUGCCUGGUCAUCUAUUGGGCAUACAGAUUUGCUCGGAAAAUUCUAAAUUAAUUAGCAUUAACAUUCCGGCUAACGUGGAGAUACAGAUACUAAGUCUUUCCUCUACUGAAUGAAGCAGCAAAUCCACGGGCUUAGGAGCUAUCGGUUACUUCUAAAUUGGUAAAAAGGACCAGAGACAUUUGGCGGGGUGGUGGAACUCUCCAGAUGAGAAAACCGAAGACCAAGGUCAUUCAGUUAAGUGGUGGGGCCAAGGGUCUUAAAAGCCGAGAUCCCCCAAGUUGACGCCCAGUUGGCGCUCUUUGCACAAACCUCUCAAAGCCAAGGGCCGGACUUUCUGGGUUAGCAUUUUCAACGUAUCUUGGGCUUCAUAUUUCAAUAAUGAUCAUCAAGGUUCCUAACUAGGAAGAACAACGGAAGAUCGGGUUCCUCUUCUGUCCAAUAGAUGAGAAUGACAGGCUGAGGCCAACCAAAACAGGCCUUGCUUUAUUGGGCUUGAAUUUUGAUAUAUGUCAAAAUAUAUGACAUUAAAAAUUUUUUUUAAUGUUUAUUUUUGAGAGAGAGAGAGAGAGAGAGACAGAGUGUGAGCAGGGGAGGGGCAGAGAGAGAGGGAGACACAGAAUCCGAAACAGGCUCCAGGCUCUGAGCUGGCAGCACAGAGCUCGAUGCGGGGCUCGAACUCACGGACUGUGAGAUCAUGACCUGAGCUGAAGUCGGACGCUCAACCGGCUGAGACACACAGGUGCCCAAACAAGCUUAGCCAAGAUGAUGCUAAUGCAGUUAUAAAUUGUUAUUACUAUGUGGUUUCAAUAAUUUUUUUGGGAACGUAAGAGUCUCCAGAGAACGGCAGAUAUUGUGGGGAAACAUUUCAGGAGACUGCUUACCGAGUCUUUUUUUUUUUUUAAGGUAUUCUUAACAUUUAUUUAAUGUUUUGUUUUUGUUUUGUUUUUUUCUGUAGGAAAGAGGAAGAAGGAAAUGUUACUAAGUUGCUUGGUUUAUGUUUUAUCAGACUGUUGUUCUGGUGAAUUCCACCAAUCGGGGGAUGUUUCUAGCGGGUUCACGCGUAGAACGUGUGUUAAGACGAGGGUUUCUCAGUCUCAGCCUCAGUGACAUUUUGGAACCUUCUUUGUUGUGAGGGGCCGUCCUGUGCAUGGUGGGAUGUUUAGCAGUAUCUCUGCCCUCUACCCACUCGAUGACAGUAGCAAUGCCUACCCCGCUGAAUCAUGAAAAUGAAAUAUAUUUCCGGAUGCUGCUACGUGUGCCCCUGCCAAUUUGCCCCUGGUUGACAUCCACUGGGUUGGGCAGUCUCUGGAGUCUUCCAGACAGCUUUCACUGUACAUCCAAGGGCAUACGAAAAACCCUAAAUGAUGACUCCUGCCUCACACCAGGACUGAUCCGUCAUCCGACUUCCCCCGUGAAAAACACAAAUGCCUGCUAUCGUUUGAGGAGGCUUAAGUCAACCAAGGGAAGCAUUCGUAUCUGCUUGCCUUACAGCAAGGGAAGAAAACUCAUUGUUCUUUGGCCAUCAGGCAAAACUCUGCUCCGUCCUCUGCGGCUAGGAACAGAGCAGCUCAGCAGCGUGAGGGUCGCCAAUGUCGGGUCAUGUUACUGGCAGAUUCCCUAAGAUGACAGCAUUCACACAAAAAAAAAUCCCACCUGCCCUCUGCUUCUUGGGCUUUUCUUUCCUCCAAUGGAAUCCAUAUGCCUGGUGUGUC